rnacentral:rRNA from 1 species
AAGGGUGCGUAGGCGGUUUAUUAAGUCAGUGGUGAAAGACGGUCGCUCAACGAUUGCAGUGCCAUUGAUACUGGUAGACUUGAGUGAGAUUGAGGUAGCUGGAAUGGAUAGUGUAGCGGUGAAAUGCAUAGAUAUUAUCCAGAACACCAAUUGCGUAGGCAAGUUACUAAGUCUCAACUGACGCUGAGGCACGAAAGUGUGGGUAUCAAACAGGAUUAGAUACCCCCGGU